CCUACGGGAGGCAGCAGUGAGGAAUAUUGGUCAAUGGACGCAAGUCUGAACCAGCCAUGCCGCGUGCAGGAAGACGGCUCUAUGAGUUGUAAACUGCUUUUGUACGAGGGAACACGCAGAUGCGCGUAUCUGUCUGAAAGUGUCGUACGAAUAAGGAUCGGCUAACUCCGUGCCAGCAGCCGCUGUAAUACGGAGGAUUCAAGCGUUAUCCGGAUUUGUUGGGUUUAAAGGGUGCGUAGGCGGUCGGAAAAGUUAGAGGUGAAAUCCCGAGGCUCAACUUCGGAAUUGCCUCUGAUACUGUUAGGCUAGAGAGUAGAUGCGGUAGGUGGAAUGUAUGGUGUAGCGGUGAAAUGCUUAGAGAUAAUACAGAACACCGAUUGCGAAGGCAGCUCACCAGGCUACUUCUGACGCUGAGGCACGAAAGCGUGGGGAGCAAACAGGAUUAGAUACCCGGGUAGUC
rnacentral:rRNA from 1 species